rnacentral:tRNA from 1 species
UCGGAUAUGGUGUAGUGGCUAACAUUAUCGCCUCUCACAAAAAACCGCGAUAGCCCGGGGUUCAAUUCCCCGUAUCCGAA